UUGUAUUCUGGUCAAGGGGUACAGCGAGAGAGAGCGUGUGUCGGGCAAGAGAGAGAUGAAGGGGAGAAGCGGCGGCUUAUAUCUAGUGGUGUUGCUGUGUCAGCAUGUCUUCCGGUAAGUCCGGGCUAUCUUCAUGGUCGGUCUGGGUUGUAACGCCGGCUGGUCCGAACGUGAGUGAGGGCCAGCUCGGCCUGGACGAGUGCUGACUCGGGAGUUGCUGAGUCCGCGUUGUGUCCGGCGUGACGUAGGGUGUGGUGCCGGUCGUGACGUCCUAGCGUGACGUCGGCGUGACGUCAUUGGUGUGACGUCGGGGGGCGGGGCCAAUAGGCUCCGCGGGGCAUUACA